GAUCCUGGCUCAGGAUGAACGCUAGCUACAGGCUUAACACAUGCAAGUCGAGGGGCAGCAUGGUCUUAGCUUGCUAAGACUGAUGGCGACCGGCGCACGGGUGAGUAACACGUAUCCAACCUGCCGUCUACUCUUGGACAGCCUUCUGAAGGAAGAUAUACAGAUGGCAUCAUGAGUCCGCCAUGCUCACAUGNUUAAGUAAUUCGUAGACGA
rnacentral:rRNA from 1 species